rnacentral:rRNA from 1 species
UGCCAGCCGCCGCGGUAAUACAGAGACUGCAAGCGUUACUCGGAUUCACUGGGCGUAAAGGGAGCGCAGGCGGACUCGUGUGUCGGACGUGAAAUACCGGGGCUUAACCCCGGUGCUGCGUUCGAAACUACGAGUCUAGAGACUUGGAGGGGUAAGCGGAAUUCUUGGUGGAGCAGUGAAAUGCGUAGAUAUCAAGAGGAACACCAACGGCGAAGGCAGCUUACUGGACAAGAUCUGACGCUCAGGCUCGAAAGCGUGGGGAGCAAAAGGGAUUAGAUACCCCUGUAGUCCACGCUGUAAACGGUGCGCAUUAGGUCUUGGAGCUUUCGAACGCUCCAGGGCUCAAGCUAACGCAUUAAAUGCGCCGCCUGAGGACUACGGCCGCAAGGCUAAAACUUAAAUAAAUUGGCGG